GCCUGCCAGUGAAUUUUAACGGCCGCGGUACUCUGACCGUGCGAAGGUAGCAUAAUCACUUGUUCUUUAAAUGAGGACUAGUAUCAACGGCAUCACGAGGAUUUUACUGUCUCCUUUUUCCUAUCGGUGAAACUGAUCUCCCCGUGAAGAAGCGGGGAUAAUAUUAUAAGACGAGAAGACCCCAUGGAGCUUUAAACCCAGUAACACCUCAAACACACCCCUCCCAAAAAGUUUUAAUGUUCUGUUCACUGGUUUUAGGUUGGGGCGACCGCGGAGUACAACUUAACCUCCACAGCGCACGGAACUUAUUCCUUACCUGAGAGCUACACCUCAAAGAAUUAUCACAUUAACGUAAAAUGAUCCAAUAUUUUCCUUAUUGAUUAAUGAACCAAGUUACCCUGGGGAUAACAGCGCAAUCCAUNUCUAGAGCCCCUAUCGACAAAUGGGUUUACGACCUCGAUGUUGGAUCAGGGUAUCCCCAGUGGUGCAGCCGCUACUAAUGGUUUGUUUGUUCAACAAUUAAAACCCUACGUGAUCUGAGUUCAAACCGGAGA
rnacentral:rRNA from 1 species